GUUUAGCACCGCCCCCGUAGCCAUGAGCCUCCUCCAUUGGCUGAGGCUCGCUGAGACCCGGAUGAGCACGGGGAUGCGGGCAGCUCGCGGGCGCGCGCUCGGCCGGGGAAGGUGCGCGUGCGCUCUCGCUGCGUUCCCGGCGGAGCUAGGGCGGGGCCGGCCGGCUGGCGCACGUAGGCACUCCGGCGGUUGGGGGUCCCUAGAAGGCCCGGGGGCGGCUUUGUUCCCGCUGAGAGUCUGUGAGGGGGGCCUGCAGGUAGUGGGGGCAGGUGGGGUGGACGGAGGAGAGUAGGACGGAGGAGGCUGCACGUAGGCUCGGAUGCCAAACUGCGUGCAUCAGUCCAGCUCUGUGCAAAGAACCCUGCUUUGGAGUGUGCAGCGCCAUUCCAAAGGUCUGAUAAUCACUUAUCACACCCGCGAUUAUAUUGAUAAGACAAUGAGAAGUGUCUACUUCAACACGAGUGCAAGUAGGUGCUCGAUAAUUGUACUUAAUACUAUAAUAAUGUGUCUCUGAUUCCCUCUAAAGCAGUGGUUCUCAACCUUCCUCAUGCCGCGACCCUUUAAUACAGUUCCUCAUGUUGUGGUGACCCCCAACCAUAAAAUUAUUUUCGUUGCUACUUCAUAACUGUAAUUUUGCUACUGUUAUGAAUCGUAAUGUAAAUAUCUGAUAUGCAGGAUGCAUUUUCUUUUUUUUUUUUAAAUAUAUAUAUUUUUGAUUUUUUACAGAGAGGAAGGGAAAGGGAUAGAGAGUUAGAAACAUCGAUGAGAGAGAAACAUCGAUCAGCUGCCUCCUGCACACCUCCUACUGGGAAUGUGCCGGCAACCAAGGUACAUGCCCUUGACCAGAAUCGAACCCGGGACCCUUCAGUCCGCAGGCCGACGCUCUAUCCACUGAGCCAAACCGGUCAGGACAGGAUGCAUUUUCAUUGUUACAAAUUGAACAUAAUUAAAGCAUAGUGAUUAAUCACAAAAACAAUAUGUAAUUAUAUAUGUGUUUUCCGAUGGUCUUAGGUGACCCCUGUGAAAGGGUCGUUCAACCCCCCCCAAAGGGGUCGCAACCCACAGGUUGAGAACCGCUGCUCUAAAGUGUGACUUGUUAAGGACCAUGGCCCCAUCCAGUUCUUUUUUUUUUUCUUUUUCUUUUUGCAUCAAUACCCACCCAGUACAGAACCUGAUACAUAAGCAUUCAAACGUUGAUUGAAUGACUGAGUUAAUGAAUGCUGUUUGCCCCCAGAGUCUGGCAAGGUUAGGAGGAAGAAGGAUACGGCAAUUGCUACUGCCUGAACUGUGUGCUUUAAAUUCAUGGAAACCCUAGUUAGUACCUGUGAGUGUGACCUUAUUUGAAAAGAAGAUAAAGUGAAGAUGAGGUCAUUAGGAUGGACCCUAAUCCAGUUUGUCUGAGGCCCUUAAAAAAGGGGUAAAUUUGCACACAGACCCACGCACACGAGGAGAAUGCCUUGUGAAGAUUGGAGUUAUGCUGGGGGGCAGGUGGGCGUUCAGAGCUAGUCACCCCAAGAUGUGCCUCAGUGGUAUGCAGAUGAACCCUGCAGGCUCUAGAGGAACUCCUGCCUCCCACCUCCACUACCUAGAAGAAUCUAAAUCAGGAGCCUGACCUAUGAAAAGAGUUAUCAGCAGAAAUAAGCUUUUAAGUAUCUAUAUGGUAGGGCCAACUGAUAAAUUACUGAACAUGUGCUUUCCUCCUCCCUGCAGUGACCUCCUGAAGCCCCAAGGUGCAUUGCCUCACCCCAGCUCAGAAUAUUCCUUUUCUGUCUCUGAACCUCUUGUGCAUGUGGGGUCUCUGACUCCCACAUGUACGUGGGAUUCCCAUACAUAUGUACGUAUUAAAUUUGGUUAUUUUCUCU